AUAAGGCGGGUGCGGGGCGCCGCCCGCGGGCCUCGGCCCCUUCGGUGACGCCGCGCGGUUAUUUUUGGGUCUCGGCGAGCCGGGGCCGGAGGAGGCGCGCUCCCCGGGGGCGGGAGGCGCGGCCCUGCAGUCCCGGAAGCGGUUGGGGCGGCCUCCUCCGGCCUCGGAGCCGCCCCGCCCAAGGGCCAGGGAGCGGCCGCGGGGGCUCCCCGGUGGCCCAGCGCCCACCUCCUCGGCAGCAGCUGCGGGCCGCGCGCAGGGCCUUCUUGCUUCCUGCUGUCGGCGCCGUUUGCACACCGCCUCCCCUCUCCCCCUGCAGCGGGCCGCGCGAGGGCCGGGGUGGGGCGGGGUGGAGAGCCCAGCGGCCCGCGGUGCGGGGACCCGGGGGCGAUGGGGACCGCGGCUGGCCGCCCGCACGGCCAAGUGCCCCGCGGUGCAGAGGGCGAGGCAGGCUGACCGUCCGGCGCGGGGACUCCACAGGGCUGACCCGGGGUGGCCACCCUAUGCGGUUGAAGACACUGGGCAGAGGACACCUCGCAGACUCGGAAGUCACUCAAGGGUGGCUGUAGGAGCGAACUCGGAAGGUCAAGGCCCCUGAAGUUACAGGCUCUAACUGGUGUGUUUAUUUCCCUGACACCAGAGGGAAAUGGACGCGAAGAAAGGGCCCAGGGACAGAAGAGUUACACCAAAUGGUCAUGGUCUCCUGCUUCGUGGGAUCGAGCCCCACAUGGGGCUCUGCACUGACAGCAGGGAGCCUGCUUGGGAUUCUCUC